AACUUUGCCACCCAGAGCAAGACCUCCACCUCCUUACCCAGAGCCAGACCUUCACCUCCUGUCAGAAGUCCUCCAGAACAGCACAAAGGUGAGGCUGAGAGGCUUGGGACCGGAGGCUUGUGGUGCCAGGAUGGACCUGAGGCUGGAGACCAGGGGCCUGCGGUACCGGACCAGAGGACCAGGAAUCCAUGGCUGAAGGAGCUGAUGGAGGAGCCGCGCUGAAGGCCCUGCCUGGUGGAGGAGCUGAUGGAGGCCCUGCCUGGUGGAGGAGCUGAUGGAGGCCCUGCCUGGUGGAGGAGCUGAUGGAGGCCCUGCCUGGUGGAGGAGCCAUGCUGAAGGCCCUGCCUGGUGGAGGAGCUGACGGAGGCCCUGCCUGGUGGAGGAUGUCUGUCGUGGGGACUCUGGUUUGGAGGAGAGCUGAUGGGGAGCUGAUGGAGGAGCUGAGUCGCUGGAGGACGACUAGGAAUCGACCAACAAGGAUUCCUCGUAAGUUUGUAUUUACUUGCAUGGUUGACCUAAAGGGCAAAAUAGAGCUGUAA
rnacentral:lncRNA from 1 species